rnacentral:rRNA from 1 species
CAGCCGCCACGGGAAUACGUAGGGUGCAAGCGUUAAUCGGAAUUACUGGGCGUAAAGCGUGCGCAGGCGGUUUGUUAAGACAGAUGUGAAAUCCCCGGGCUCAACCUGGGAACUGCAUUUGUGACUGGCAAGCUAGAGUGUGGCAGAGGGGGGUGGAAUUCCGCGUGUAGCAGUGAAAUGCGUAGAUAUGCGGAGGAACACCGAUGGCGAAGGCAGCCCCCUGGGCCAACACUGACGCUCAUGCACGAAAGCGUGGGGAGCAAACAGGAUUAGAUACCCGCGUAGUCCCUGUCUCUUAUAA